rnacentral:tRNA from 1 species
AAGGUUUUAGGUUAAAUUAAACUAAUAAUCUUCAAAAUUAUAUAUAAAGAAACUUCUUUAAGCCUUA